GAAAUGCGAUAAGUAGUGUGAAUUGCAGAAUUCAGUGAAUCAUCGAAUCUUUGAACGCACAUUGCGCCCUUUGGUAUUCCUUAGGGCAUGCCUGUUCGAGCGUCAUCUAAACCUUCAAGCCCUGCUUGGUGCUGGGUGCCUGUCCCGCCUCCGCGCGCGGACUCACCUCAAAUCCAUUGGCGGCCCCCGCGUCGGCCACGAGCGCAGCAGAAACGCGAACUCGUGAGCCCGUCCGGGCGGCUCCCAGAAGCUACACCCACCCAGUUUGACCUCGGAUCAGGUAGGGAUACCCGCUGAACUUAAGC
rnacentral:misc_RNA from 1 species